rnacentral:lncRNA from 1 species
UCCCGGUCCCCGCGCCGAGCCUGCGCGCCCCGCCCCGCGUGCCCCUGCGGCCGCCCCGGGCCCCUCCGCCCGCGCCGCUGCCGCCGGCCUCCCCCUCCCCGCACGCUCACCUAGCCCGCGGUCCCGGGAAGUUCCCGGCCGCUCCCGGCGCCCCGGCUCCGCUGCCUGGCCGCGGCUGCGCAGGGGUGCCCGGCGGGGCGCUUCCCGGCUGCGCGCCGAGCCCGGCUCCCGGCAGAGAGUGGCCGCAGACUCGCGCGGCGCGGCGGCCUGAAAGGCAAGCCAGCCCCCGCCGCUGCCUCCAGCCAGCCCCGGUCCUCCGGGGGUCACCUGCACAGGCUCCGCCUGGCACGGCGCGUGGCACCCGCGGGCCGCAAGGAUGCUGGAGAGAGGACGAGCCGUGAGUGCGGGGAAGGGGUCCCGGAGCCUGGCCCCGCGGAAGUGAGUCUUUGUGCGCCCCGCUCUGACACACCCUCCCGCGGCGCUGAAGGCCGGGCUACCUGCGCGCCAGGCAGUGCCCGGGAGCCGGCCGGGUGGGGCGCCGGGGAGUGCAGCAUCCUCUCGGGCCGCUCGCUCCCUUUGUUCCGCCCGCUCGGCCAGGCUCCGCGCCACCGCCCGGCCCUUGCUCCCGGGAGCCGGAGGUGGACUGGGAGCGAGCCACCUGCCACUGGGAAUUCCGUCGGUCGGGUUCUCCCCACCGAACGCGACUGGCUCCCAGAGGACCAGCAAAGUUCACGGAACGACGGCACCCGGACUGCUGGCCUGGCGCGAGGAGAACCGGGCGCGGGAGCCGCGGGUGUGGCUGCGGAUAGGGUGUCCGUCUGCUCGCGUGCGGGAUGUCCAUUUGUUGCCUCCAACCUCUGGUUCUUGAGAAGCGGCCGCAGCUGGUCCCGGACCGAGACCGCGCCGCCCUUUGUUUGCUGAAAAAGGCGAAAAGUGGGAAGUUGCAUUCAGCGUGUGUUUUGCACGAAUGGUUGUAGAGGCAGCAAGAUGGGCCCGGCCAACUUCUUUCCUGGAACCACUCAGCAUCUCAGCAUCUCCACAUCUCAGCACCUCCGAAUCUCAGCAUCCAGCUUGAGCUGUGAACCACAUCUGUGGUGCAUCUGUGCUUUAUCUGGUUUAUUUCAUGGACCUAAGGGCCGCAUCUGCAACAACACCGAUCCUUUAACCCACUGUGUGGGGCUGGGGAACAACCUGUGUCCUGGUGCUGCUGAGAAGCCACCAAUCCCGUUGGGCUACAGCAGAACGCCUGGAGAGGAUAUUCUAAUAUAUUGAAUCAUUGAGAAAUGAUAAAAGGAGAAGUCCAUACACAUUCAUGAUUUUCCUUUUUUUAAAAAAUUUUUUGAGAAUGAUACCAUCCCCUGAGGAGCCCUCUUGAAGGAAGAGAACAGAAACGUCAGCAUCCUGGGUUGUUCUCAUGCCCACAGACACUUUCCGUGGGGGAGCAGUGACCCUAAGCGUGGCCCAGGGUCCUCAAGACCCUCUCCAAAAGGGUUCCUAGGGUCAAAACUAUUUUCAUAAUACCAGAGAUUUGUUCCUUUUUCAGUCUCCUGCUCUCCUGAUUGUACAGGGGAAUUUUCUAGAAGCUGAUAGUGCAGACUGAUUGAGCAGACUGACUACAGACUGAUGGUGCAGACUGACGGUGGAGACUAACUGCAAACUGAGUGCAGACUGAUGGUGCAGACUGAUUGCAGAAGCAGCUAUGAACAUUCACCUGUAUUGUUAGCCAGACAUUACAGCAAUUUGCAGAAAUGGAAGCAAUGUUACUCUCCUGCCUAGGUUUUUUGGUUUUGUUUUGGAAACCAUAGUUACAUUUUCACAAAAAUGUGUGACUGGCAUGACCAGGUGACAAAACUAAUUACACUCAACACAUGUUCAUUCCGGGACCUGCUCUAGGUGCUAGGAAACAUCAGAGAGGAUGUCACACAUACAGAUCCAUGGGGCUCAAACUGUGUGAGGUGACGUGGACCCCACGGAAACUCACUGAGAGGCUGCAGGAAGGUUUAACUUUUCAAGGGAAGCACAGUGAUGCUUGGCCCCUGUGGGAUAACAUGGUUUGACGGUCUCUCCAUUAGACUGUGCAGCACUUACUGAAGAUGUCAUCUCUCUAUGAAAUUGCAUUUCUGGAAGUUGUUGGGAUUAAAACGACUCCAGUUUUGUUCAGGAAAUCGAGACGUCUCAUGCUUCCAGAGCUCUUCUCCAACCCCAAAGAUUGGCCAAUCCAGAGGUUCUUAACUUGAGUGGCCCAGCGCAGUGCCUCAGGGGACUUUUAAACAUCAGGAUGCGGAGAACAUGUUGGACCAGGGAAAUCAGUCACUGGGGAUGAGACUCAGCCAGCAUCAGUAUUUUGUAAAGCUCCCCAGGCUUAUGACAUGCCUGAAGCUUUACUAGCUUCUCUGCUUCCCAGCAGCUACCCACCGACCAGCUCCUCACACUCUUGCUAUGAGCCAUGAAUCAAAACAUAUUUUGAGGAGAAAAGCAACCCAGAAAGGCCCUGUUGGAUACCCCACCUCCUCCUCUGAGAAUAUCAGGUGAACAUUCUCUCAUUCAUUUUGCCACUUUGUUUAUAUCCAAAUAUCUGGAUAUUAACGGACAAAUGCAGGAGCCAGUUGGGUCCCCAGAACUUCGAAAUUAACCUUUCUGAGCAAAGGAAAAAGCUCUUCCCGUCCUCUCAGGGUGAGUGACUGAUUGGGCAGCUUGCUUCAACGUUCGGACACACCCAGAAAAUUGUUCCAGACUGUGGAUCAGAGGCCUCUAAGUGUGUCAAACUCACUUGCCUCUAGGUAGCUGGGCUGCUGUUCCCGGUCCAGCUGUAUAACCAUAUAAUAUGUCACCCAUCUCCAGACAGUUUUUUUAGUAAAAAGAGUUGUUUUUGAUGAGCAUGCUGUGACCAAAGACUCAACCUAGGACAACGCCUGGGGAACCAGGACCCACCGCCUAAGUCUGCCUGGGUAACUUCUGGGGCCGCCAAUGGCUGGUGACACCCCCCUGCCCACCUGCAGCUGUCCUUAGGGCUGGCCUGUGGUAAAAAUGACAGGCGAAGAUCUUAAGAAAGUACAGUUUUUAUGAGACCAACUGUUUUGUGAAUGCUCUCAACAACAGAGCCCCAUGUCUGCAGAUCUUCCAGAGGGCUAACGAAAGCCAAGUUUGAGGAAGCGUGGCUCUCACUCUGAGGGAAAAUGUGAAAAAAAGAUUAUAGAAAUCAGGAGUUCCCACUGUGUAAUGAAUCUGACUAGUACCCAUGAGGAUGCAGGUUCAAUCCCUGUCCUUGCUCAGUGGGUUAAGGAUCCGGCGUUGCCGCGAGCUGUGGUGUAGGUCACAGACGCGGCUUGGGUCCCACGUGGCUGUGGCUGUGGUGUAGGCCGGCAGCUGCAGCUCUGAUUCAACCCCUAACUUGGGAACCUCCAUAUGCCGUGGGUGUGGCCCUAAAAAGAAAAGAAAAGAUUACAAAAAUCAGAUGACACAAUGAAAAGAAGCGGAGGAGGUGGACUGUGCGUGGACCUGCAUAGAAACAGCAAUUUUGCAGAAGCACCUCUGAGUGGAGUUCUAGGGACAGACCGAAUAGGCUUUGUGGAGACACACCCUGUCACUCCUACGAAGUCCUGCAGGUAACUGGCUCCCAUGACCAGCAUGAUGGGAAAAGAACAAGGGCCUUUCUAUGCUACAGCCACACAAAGAUGCUGCAAAAGAAGGGAAAGAAAAGGCAGCACAGAUUACCAACAGAGGAAGGGAAUUCUCCAGAAAAGCAUUGCCUUGCAAGAGAUGAAAAAUUGUAGGAAGUGAAAUCUUCAUUCGUUUAAAAUAAAUGCUAUUUUAAGAGGUGUACAAUGAAGCCUAAAGGCAAGAACUCAGAAUGUAGAAACGGAGGAUGUUAAUCACAGGUGGGCAGAGGGCAGGACAGAAAGAUGAGGAUGGCAUUGGAUAGAGUCCAAAGGCAAAUGAACACUAACAAGAAAAAUGAGGUGACCUGAAGAGUAGAAGCGAGAAAAGUCAAAAGAAAAUGGGAAAAAAGUGUUAAACUUAUCACAGGACACAGGUAUGCAAGAAACUAGCCCAAAUAAUGUUGAGCAUAGUAUGUUGACUCUGUACCUCAGAUUGAAGAUAAAAAUGCUGUACCCAUGCUGAAUUCUAACUAGGAGCUUUGUUGGUCCUGGUCAUUUGGGCUACUCAUUUGGCAACCACUUCUGAGUAUUUUUGGAUAGAGAAGUAAUUGCCUUAAGAACAAGCAACUGUAACUUUCUCCUCUUCUGAUGGAGAGCUGAGUUACCAAGUAUGGCGAGGGCGGAGAUUAAGAACUUGUGUGCAGGGGAAUUGGGACAUCUGUGUAAUGACUGCAUGUGAGCGUGCAUGCACACACACACAAACACAUGCAUGUGCACACGCACUCGUGACUCCAGCCACAGAGUCCUCGGGUCUCCUGGGUGAAGGGGCCCUGGAGCAGUCUGCCUCGGCACCUGUGACAACUCACAUCUUGAGCUCUGCAAACCAUUCUAAUAAAUUGGCUUGAAACAAUGGUUUCCUUGGCGACACAGUUGCGUCCAGGGCUGUGUCAAGGGACGUAUAAGGUGAGGGCUAGAAUGGGAUGGAAGAAAGUGACCAGAGAAUGGAGCCCCGUGCUGACGAAGACGUUGCACGAGCCAACUGAUGAAGAUGUUCCACUGGUCAUUUCAGGUACAAUUUGAGCAUCGAAAUACAUAAGGAUAGAAAGACGUAGUUAUCCAUUGAAUGAACUGAGAAUUGCUCAUUCCCUGAGUGAACGGGAAGGAAACACUCCUCCUUGCUGAAGAAAACCAACAAAGAAACGUGGAAGGGAAGGCAAGGUUAGGAAGUCCUUGUCUGACAGCUGUUGACUGAGGCCAAAACCAGGGGUAGAAAGUUGGAGCCACGAAACAUCUUGUUUCCAAGGGUCCAAGAUACUUCUUAACAGAAAGGACCACAGAGGAGCUUUGCACCUGAGAAACCUUGCAGACGCCACAUUCCCCAAAGGACGGAAGUUACCUUCACCCCCAAACGAGGUCAAGUCACCCUUGCUAUGGUUCGUAAGACGAUCACAGCGUCACUUCCGAGGGUCUUCUGCCCCAGAUACGUGACCUGCAACAAAUCACGACAAAAUAUCUAAGUACCCACACUGAGUGACAUUCUCAAAACAAUGGCUCAAAGUUUUUAAAGAAAGUGAAAUGUAAAAACAUGCUUCUGAUUAAAGGAGACUCAAGUGAUCAUGAUUAAUAUAAUACGUGUCCUUUUGUGAAACCCUGGCCUGGGCUGGGCAGGGGUCCUUUAUGAUAGACAUUAUUGGGACAAUUAAUGACAUUUUGAACAGAGACUGCGAAUUCCAUAACAGUAUUGUAUCAUAUUCAGUUUCCUGGAUUUGAACAUUCUUCUGUCGUUUCAUAAGAGUAUCCUUGUUUUUCGGGAAUAUACUGAUAUAUUUAGGGUAAAAGUGUGCUGCCUGGGAACCUCCUUAUGCCAUAAGAGCGGCCCCAGAAAAGGCAAAAA